GAUGAACGCUGGCGACGUGCCUAAUACAUGCAAGUCGAGCGAACGGACGAGAAGCUUGCUUCUCUGAUGUUAGCGGCGGACGGGUGAGUAACACGUGGAUAACCUACCUAUAAGACUGGGAUAACUUCGGGAAACCGGAGCUAAUACCGGAUAAUAUUUUGAACCGCAUGGUUCAAAAGUGAAAGACGGUCCUGCUGUCACUUAUAGAUGGAUCCGCGCUGCAUUAGCUAGUUGGCAAGGUAACGGCUUACCAAGGCAACGAUGCAUAGCCGACCUGAGAGGGUGAUCGGCCACACUGGAACUGAGACACGGUCCAGACUCCUACGGGAGGCAGCAGUAGGGAAUCUUCCGCAAAGGGCGAAAGCCUGACGGAGCAACGCCGCGUGAGUGAUGAAGGUCUUCGGAUCGUAAAACUCUGUUAUUAGGGAAGAACAUAUGUGUAAGUAACUGUGCACAUCUUGACGGUACCUAAUCAGAAAGCCACGGCUAACUACGUG
rnacentral:rRNA from 1 species